GGAAGUGGAGGGUGCGUGCUUACCACUAGAGCAACCCACUAGAACGAUAGGAACCAGUUUUUAAAAAUAACAAUUAAACCUAAUUUGAGAAUUCUUUUGAGAAUUCUUUCUCCCUAAAGCAUGACUCUCAAUCUACAAAAAAACAAAAAACAAAUUUGAGGUCAAAAAAUGAAAAUCAUAUGACUUAAAAGGUAAAGCAUCUAAAAGUAAUGAUGGAAAGGAGACAAUCGAAUGUGGAGAAGAUAUGGUAUUGUUUUGGAUGGGUAUCAAUAUCAUACUUCAAGUUCAAGAUUCCGUAAUACAUCUUAAUUAUCUUCCUUCUAUUUUAUGGUGUAAAAGCAGACCAAAUACCUUUCAUCUCCACCUUAUUAAUCAAAUAACAACUGCUUCCACUUUCAGAAUUUAAUCGUUGUAUUAAACCCGGACAAGUUAACAAUAAGAACAAUAAUGUAUUCAUUUUCAUAGUUUAAAUGAAAUUAAAUUGGGCAAUAAUAAAGAGAUCGAAAGAGUGACUUUGUGCAUUGCUCUUACUGAAGUUGAAGCUAAAUUUUCUUAGAUGAUAAAAGAAUAAAGUAUUGAUAAUUGUACAAAAAAAUAUUCAUUUGUUAAAAGUUCACAUAAUCUUUACCAAUUUAAAAUAGAAGAGAAUUGAUUCAGGCAAAGCUAAAGUAAGUGUCAGCAAACUUAAAUAAGCAAAAACAAAAUAACCAGUAGCUUGCCAAAUUUGAAUCUAAGUUGAAUGCACUAACAAUGUAAUAAAUAUUUAUACACAGAUCUUACCCCUACCUUGUGAGGAUGGAGAAACUGUUUCCAAUAGACCUCUGGCUCAGGAAAACAUAAGCACCACAUUAAUGAAUAUAUAGAUAAGAAGGGACAAUACCAAAAAACCAUAUAAAAGUAUAAUAAAAACAACAAGAGAGUAAGGUGACAAACAAUGAAAGAAAACAACGGUUAGCCAUAAAAACCUAUUACCAACAGAAAGUGAGACUGCGUGCCAAUACUACUGUUAUGAACACUCUAGACUACCUACUCUACUACCCUAAUCCUCGACCUUCAUAUCUUCUUAUCAAUGGUCAUGUCCUCGGUCAGCUUAAGCUGUGUCAUGUCUUGCUUAAUCACCUUUCUCCCCUUCUUCUUUGGUCUACCUUUACCUUUCCGUAGGCCCUCCAAUGUCAAUCUCUCACACCUCCUCACCGGUGCGUCUGUGCCUUGCUAUCCCAGUUUUAGGGUUAAACAAAAGAAAACUAGGUUAAUUACACGAGUUCAAAUCUGAUGAUACCUCUAUGAGUCUAAGCUCUAAAGAACAUCUUAACACGUCAAUCGGGUCAAAUUAUGACCAUAAAAGUAAAGCAGAGAAGAUAGAAAAGUUUCUCACUAGAAGCAGUAGAAGGAAAAAGAAUACUUGCUUUUAAAGACUGAAUUGAGUCAAGACUCUUGCUAUUCAUACCAAGGCCAAGGAUUACUUGAAUUGGAGAUAAAAAUGCAUAAAUUUACUGCCAACAGUGGCGGUGGAAUAAUUGGGAUUCCUUCACUUGAAGUAGAAUUUUGG
rnacentral:lncRNA from 1 species